rfam:Schistosoma margrebowiei strain Zambia genome assembly, scaffold: SMRZ_scaffold0001243
GCACUGCUGAGGAGUGCCACAAUAGGACGAAACGGCCGUUCAGUGC